GUCGGAAGAGCCCGACAUUUGCAACACGUCAAUAACCGCAGGGGAAUCCCUCAUUUCAACGCCAAGGACUCGAAGUCACGCGGCAUCAACAUGCUGAUCAAGGAGUACCGCAUUCCGCUGCCCCUCACCGUCGAGGAGUACCGCAUCGCCCAGCUCUACAUGAUUGCGAAAAAGAGUCGCGAGGAGAGUCAUGGCGAGGGCAGUGGCGUUGAGAUUAUCAUCAAUGAGCCGUACAAGGAUGGACCCGGCGGAAAUGGUCAAUACACAAAGAAGAUCUACCACGUGGGCAAUCAUCUGCCUGGCUGGAUCAAAAGUCUCUUGCCGAAAAGCGCUUUAACCGUGGAGGAGGAGGCAUGGAAUGCCUAUCCGUAUACCAGGACUCGCUACACCUGUCCGUUUGUGGAGAAGUUCUCGCUGGACAUUGAGACAUACUAUUAUCCGGACAAUGGCUAUCAGGACAAUGUCUUCCAGCUGUCCGGAAGCGAUCUGCGUAAUCGCAUAGUAGACGUGAUUGACAUUGUGAAGGACCAGCUGUGGGGUGGCGACUAUGUGAAGGAGGAGGAUCCCAAGCACUUUGUGUCGGACAAGACGGGCCGUGGCCCCUUGGGCGAGGAUUGGCUGGAUGAGUAUUGGCGAGAAGUGAAGGGCAAGAAGCAGCCGACACCGCGCAACAUGUCCCUGAUGACCGCCUACAAGAUCUGCCGCGUUGAGUUCCGCUACUGGGGCAUGCAGACGAAGCUGGAGAAGUUCAUCCACGACGUGGCGCUGCGCAAGAUGAUGCUGCGUGCCCAUCGACAGGCGUGGGCAUGGCAGGACGAGUGGUUCGGAUUGACCAUCGAGGAUAUCCGCGAACUGGAGCGACGAACGCAACUGGCCCUGGCCAAGAAGAUGGGCGGCGGCGAGGAGUGCAGCGAUGACAGCAUCUCGGAGCCGUAUGUCAGCACGGCGGUCACUGCCGCCUCUACAACGGGCAGCGAGCGAAAGAAGUCCGCUCCGGCCGUGCCGCCGAUUGUCACCCAGCAGCCGCCGAGCGCCGAGGCCAGUUCGGAUGAGGAGGGCGAGGAGGAGGAUGACGACGAGGAUGAGAACGAUGCCAUUGGUACGGGCGUAGAUCUGUCCGCCAACCAAAGCGGAUCCGCGCAACGUUCCCGCUCCCAAAGUAUUCAGAUGGCCCAGAAGGGCAAGUUCGGGUCGAAGGGUGCCCUUCACUCUCCGGUGGGAUCUGCCCACAGCUUCGAUCUCCAGUCCAAAAAGCCGCAUGCAAAGACAGCGCCACGCAGACAUGUGGCAAACUGGCGUAUGGAGCGAUUGGAAGUGGACUCCAAAUCCAAUUCGGAUGAGGAAUUCUUUGAUUGUCUGGACACCAAUGAGACGAACUCGCUGGCCAAGUGGAGCUCGCUGGAGCUGCUGGGCGAGGGCGACGACAGUCCGCCGCCACAUGGCGGACCCUCUAGCGCAGCAUCCGUGGGUGGGCGUGGCAACUCGCGGCAAGAGGACAGCAUAUUCAAUCAGGACUUUUUGAUGCGCGUGGCCUCAGAGCGCGGCAACAAGCGACAGUUACGCUCCUCCGCCAGCGUGGAUCGCAGUCACGACUCCUCGCCGCCGGGAUCACCGAGCACACCGUCAUGCCCCACAACCAUUCUGAUCCUGGUGGUCCAUGCGGGCAGUGUUUUGGAUGCGGCCAGCGAGCUGACCGCCAAGAAAUCCGAUGUGACCACAUUCCGUGGCUCCUUCGAGGCGGUGAUGCGACAGCACUAUCCCAGCCUCCUCACUCAUGUGACCAUCAAGAUGGUGCCGUGCCCCUCAAUUUGCACCGACGCCUUGGGCAUUCUCUCCAGCCUGAGUCCGUACUCCUUUGAUGCAUCGCCCUCAGCGGCGGAUAUACCGAACAUAGCCGAUGUUCCUAUUGGAGCCAUACCCCUACUAUCCGUGGCAUCGCCAGAAUUCCACGAGACGGUCAACAAGACGGUCGCCGCUGCCAAUAUUGUCUACCAUGAGUUCUUAAAAUCGGAGGAGGGACACGGAUUCUCCGGCCAGAUUGUCAUGCUGGGCGAUUCGAUGGGCUCACUGCUGGCGUACGAGGCCCUCUGCCGAUCAAAUGGCAGCCAGCCGGGAACGGCAUCAGGCGCCUCAAAUUCUGGUGGAGAUGCAGCCACAAAUAUAAAUACCCACAAUCCGUUAAGCGCUCGAAAUUCGAGGUUGGACGAUGACGAGCGUUUCAUCGAAGCCGAUUUGGAUGCCAAGCGUUUGCUGGUGGCUCCAUCGCCACGUCGACGCCGUUCCAGCUCCUCCAGCGAUUCGCGAGCCACCAAAUUGGACUUUGAGGUCUGUGAUUUCUUCAUGUUCGGAUCGCCGCUGUCUGUGGUACUUGCUGCAAGGAAACUUCAUGAUGCCAAGGCCGCUCUGCCGCGUCCCAACUGCCACCAGGUCUACAAUCUGUUCCAUCCAACCGAUCCGAUAGCCUCGCGCCUGGAGCCGCUUCUUAGCGCCCGGUUUUCGAUAUUGGCGCCAGUUAAUGUCCCACGGUACGCCAAGUAUCCGCUGGGAAAUGGUCAGCCAUUGCAUUUAUUGGAGGUCAUUCAGUCGCAUCCGCAGCACUUUAACGACGGCAACAAUCUGCUGGCUGGUCGCCGUUUGUCGGACGCAUCGAUGCAGAGCACGAUAUCGGGUCUGAUUGAGAAUGUCUCGCUUAGUACGAUCCAUGCCCUGCAAAACAAAUGGUGGGGCACAAAGCGCUUAGAUUACGCUUUAUAUUGCCCGGAGGGAUUGAGUAACUUUCCGGCUCACGCCUUGCCGCACCUCUUCCACGCCAGCUACUGGGAGAGUCCGGAUGUGAUUGCCUUUAUUCUACGGCAGAUUGGCAAAUUCGAGGGCAUACCCUUUGUGGGCUCCAACGAUGACAAGGACAAUGCCUCCUUCCAUCCAGGACAGCCGAGGGAGAAGUGGAUCAAGAAACGCACCUCGGUGAAGCUGAAAAAUGUGGCAGCCAAUCAUCGGGCCAACGAUGUGAUCGUGCAGGAGGGCAGGGAGCAGCGUUUGAAUGCGAGAUUUAUGUACGGACCCCUAGACAUGAUCACCCUGCACGGUGAGAAGGUUGAUGUGCACAUUAUGAAGGAUCCGCCGGCGGGCGAGUGGACGUUCCUCAGCACUGAGGUGACGGACAAGAACGGUCGAAUCUCGUACAGCAUUCCGGAUCAGGUAUCCCUAGGCUAUGGCAUAUACCCGGUAAAGAUGGUGGUCCGUGGCGAUCACACCUCGGUGGAUUGCUAUAUGGCGGUGGUGCCGCCGUUGACCGAAUGCGUGGUCUUCAGCAUUGAUGGAUCUUUCACCGCUUCCAUGUCGGUGACGGGCAGGGAUCCCAAGGUACGUGCCGGAGCUGUCGAUGUUUGCCGCCACUGGCAGGAGCUGGGCUACCUGCUCAUCUACAUCACCGGACGACCGGAUAUGCAGCAACAACGCGUUGUGUCCUGGCUGAGCCAGCACAACUUCCCGCAUGGCCUGAUCUCGUUCGCCGACGGCCUGUCCACCGAUCCAUUGGGCCACAAGACGGCCUAUCUCAACAAUCUGGUGCAGAACCAUGGAAUCUCAAUUACUGCCGCCUACGGCAGCAGCAAGGACAUUAGUGUCUACACGAAUGUUGGCAUGCGGACUGAUCAAAUAUUCAUCGUUGGCAAGGUUGGCAAGAAGCUGCAGUCCAAUGCAACCGUGCUUAGCGAUGGCUAUGCCGCCCACUUGGCCGGUUUGCAGGCUGUGGGUGGUUCGCGUCCGGCGAAGGGCAAUGCGCGCAUGGUCAUUCCACGCGGAUGCUUCAAUCUUCCCGGCCAGACCGCAAAUCCGCGGCGCAGAAGGCUGCAUGAACAAGCAACGAAUGAAAAUUAAAUUAUAUUGCAACUUUAGCAAACAAAUUGUUUAGAUCAAUAAAAAACCAACAAUUAAAGCAUCUUGUAAACAGAUAGAAGCGUAAAAAAAACCAAAACAUACAGACAAUUCAUGUUAGCAUUAGUGUUAUAGAAUUUUUGAGUUCCUUUGUUAAGUAUUUUAAAGCAUACCUAGCUGAGCAUUUUAUUGAUUGAUUGAUUGGUGUUGUGAGAAAAAUAAACAAAAUUGAAAAUUGAAUUAGAAACGUUUCCACCUCCAAACCACACUUAGAGGCAAACUUCAACUCUUUCUCAACAUUAACUCUGUCUUUCUUUUUCCAAACCAAAAAAAAAUAUAUCCAAAAUUUGCCUGAAAAAAAAACCAAAACACCCACACCAAAACACACACCUCACACGCACACACUGCCAUCGAACCCGUCUGUCAUCGAAAAGCACAGCAACGAGACGGGACUCUCAUCACCCAUACGCAGUGGUUACCUGAAGCGCAAGACCUACCUGAGCCACCACUAGGGCAGCAGAGAUGCAGAUGCAGCUACUACAUAGAUCGAUCCAUCAGAUAGAAGUGAAACCAAUGUACUCACGACCCCAAUAGAAAUCCCCUCGAAAUAGCGAACAAACAUAUAUAGAGCCAAUGGACAACAAGACCGAUGCCUCCAUAUGCCACAUCUGUGUAUAUACCAUAUAAAUAUAUAUUUAUAUACUAUGCGCGAUAUAUUGAAAGUUUAAUGGUGUAAUAUAUACAUACAUAUAUAUCAAAUACCAAAUUUGCAAAUGAGAAAAAAAAAACAAUUGUACAACAUUUAACAAAAGUCAAAUGUGUCACGCGGUACCUGGAAAGAAAGACUGUUUCCUCCUGUUGUUUGAUGGUUUUCCAAACCACUUAAAAAGCAUAAAAAAAACAUUGAAAGCUACACGAAACAAGAGCCGAUCGCAAAGCUAUAUACUAAAUACAAAUAUAAAUGAUAUAUACAAGGAUAUCUUCGAAAUAUAGAACCGUUUAACAUAUGCAAGCGAACCAAGUUCAACAAACCAAGUGAGAUACGACAACUGAAGGACAAACUACUGAAACCGAAGAUCUCCGGAUGAUUACAGAUACAACUAAGGGAAGCGAGGGGAGCGGAUAGAGUUGCAAAAUCAAAAGGAAAAUUAAAUGCAUUUCUCGAGAAACAACCACUACAAAAGUAUAAAUUAACGGCUUCCGUAAACCAAACCAAAAAUCUAAAAAUAGAAUUAUCUAUGUGUAUGUGCGUGUAAAAUUGAUAAAAAUUACAAAAAAGAAAAUCGGUUCUAAAGAAGAAAAAGUUAAAUGUAAAAACUUCAUGAAAUUGAAUACAAUCUCUUAACUGGCCCCAGAAAUUUCAAAUCUCCAUAAUUGUGAUAGUCUUUCGCUACCAAAAGUUAUUUAAAAAGAUGAAAAAACAGCAAAAUAUAUAUAUUUAUCUCUACUAAAAUUGUUAUUCGAAAAUGAAAGGCAUUUCGGAAAGAAAAAAAAAAACAGAAACUAUUGGAUAUUGUGUAAACGUAAAACCCGAUUUUGUGAUACCAAAACUAAAACCGAAACCAAAGUUCAGUUCGUAUUGAGAUGCGUUCAAGCCGACAACUUAAAAACCUAUACAAACAACUCACGGCGACCUGACGAUGUAACGGGCAUUGAAUCUUACCCAUAUAGUAAUAUAUAUAUACAUCUAUAUAUAUAUAUAUAUACAUAUACCACUAUGUACGCAAACCCCCAAUUAAGGGCUGUCCACGCAAGUUAACUAAAAACUCUCACACAUCUUGUAAGCUAAAGAAUACUCGGAUGUAAACCAGAUAACCACAAUUGAAGGUACAUAUGGGACCGUAAAAAUAAGAGAAGUUAUAGGAAUCUGUAAUCUGUUCGAUCCGUUUAGGUCAACCUAAGCCAAAGAUAGUUGAGUUAGGCGAUUAAGAUACUUCCUAAACUGAAAUGUAAAUCCAAAUUAAAGCGAUAGUUGUAAUGAGAACAGCGUAAUUGUAUGUAAAGAUGAAAAAAGAUAAAUAACUAAAUCAUAUACUCUAUAUUUAUAUAGCGCAACUACAUUAAGGUUUUUUCAAGCUUGCUAACUGGAAAAGUGUUCCGAUUAAAGUAUUGUCCGGCUAUACGUUCCUCAUUCCUCCAAUUCAGUCGAUUUUUAGCUAUAUUUUAUGUUACAAUUUUCCUUUGUAGCAAGUUCAAUUAAACUGAAAACUAAUGGAAGAUCUUAUAGAUUUUAAGACGAAUCUCGACCUAUGAAAAGUUUAUCCUAUGUAAGUGAGUAGUUCAAGGUUCAAGAGCGAGGUAAAAAGAAGUUUAGAAGCAAGUCCUAUUAAAUAACACACCAGAUACUCAUAGAGUCAAAAUGUUAAUGUCUGUCUACUUAGCUGGUAAAUUAAGGGCAUUUUUGCUAUACGUUUUCUAUAAGUCUCGGCCGACUUCCCAACUAGAUCUAUUUGUAUAUGAAUACUUCGUUCAACUUCUCAGCGUAGAAUAUUUGAGCUUAUAUCUUAUGUGCUUCAAACGGUUCAUAUCACUUUAUUUUUGCGAGAGAUAAUCGUUAUUUGUGUUGAAAAUUGGUAUUAUCUUUCACUGUCGUGUAUCGUUUUACAUAAAUCCCCCCCACCUGAGGCAGAAAUAAGCUGAAGAAAUAGAACUGGAAAACUCAAAUGGAUUCAGAUUUCACACAAUGGCAUUUUGGUGCUUGCUCUUGAUUGAUUUACUCUUUAUUUAUCGUAGCAAUUUAUAGAAAUCUAUGUACAUCGUACACCCACUUUUUUCUGCUCCAUCGAAAUAAGAACUCCCAAAGCCAAUAAAGCGUUGAGCGAAAUUGCAUUGAUAUUUUGAGAACCCACCAUUUAGAUGAUAAGCUAAAGCCCUCACAAAACUGACGAUGACUAAUGCAGAAAAUAUAAUCAAAGAACAAAACACUGAAAACAAUGGAAAUGUUUAACCGAACAACAGCCUAAUGUUUACGUACAUACAUAGGAAAAUAUAUGACCGCAUGGUUAUGUAUUUUAAUUAUUAAGUGCAAAAGUCCAGGAAUAACAAAUACGAAUUCAGAUUGUAAACAAUUGUAAGGAGAGCGAAGCGAAAUGCGAAGAAUAUACGAAAUUAUUUAUUGACAACAAAAUCUACAAACCGAAGAACAAAAAAAUGAGGAGCAAGCCAAAUGCAAUCUAUUUACAAAAUCCUAAGAAAAUAAAAAGCAAAGCCAGAAUUACAAACAAAACAAAUUAAGCUGAGCUGAUUCCACGGAAAUGAAUAUAUAUAUAUAUAUAUUAUACAUACAUACAUAUAUAAUGUAAACCUACCCAAAAAUAAGAUAUUUUUAAGCCAAUAAUUGAAAUUGGACUAUGACAAAUAACAAGAGUAAACCAAUUGAAAUAUGGCAGUAAGAAAUAUUUUUCGAUCUAAGCUGUUUGUUAGAAAAAAGAUCGAGUUUCAGUGAAUAGUGUCGAAUCAAUUCACAGAAAAUCGAUAAAAAAGCGGUUCAUGACAAGAUUACAAAAAAAUGAAAUAAAAAACAAAUGUUCUAUUUGAUGUUGCAAAUGAGAAAAAUAAAUAAAACAUGUUAUGUGAAAA